ACCGUAAUCCCGUUCACAAUA
rnacentral:miRNA from 15 species